GACGAACGCUGGCGGCGUGCCUAAUACAUGCAAGUCGAGCGGAAGUUGGAGAGCUUGCUCUUCAACUUUAGCGGCGGACGGGUGAGUAACACGUAAAGAACCUGCCCAUAGGUCUGGGAUAACCACGAGAAAUCGGGGCUAAUACCGGAUGUGUCAUCGGACCGCAUGGUCCGCUGAUGAAAGGCGCUCCGGCGUCGCCCAUGGAUGGCUUUGCGGUGCAUUAGCUAGUUGGUGGGGUAACGGCCCACCAAGGCGACGAUGCAUAGCCGACCUGAGAGGGUGAUCGGCCACACUGGGACUGAGACACGGCCCAGACUCCUACGGGAGGCAGCAGUAGGGAAUCUUCCACAAUGGACGAAAGUCUGAUGGAGCAACGCCGCGUGAACGAUGAAGGCUUUCGGGUCGUAAAGUUCUGUUGUAAGGGAAGAACAAGUGCCGCAGGCAAUGGCGGCACCUUGACGGUACCUUGCGAGAAAGCCACGGCUAACUACGUGCCAGCCGCCGCGGUAA
rnacentral:rRNA from 1 species